rnacentral:piRNA from 1 species
UAUUGGACACCCAUGAGACAUCC